rnacentral:rRNA from 1 species
GACGAACGCUGGCGGCGUGCUUAACACAUGCAAGUCGAACGAAGUGGCGAACGGGUGAGUAACGCGUAAUCAACCUGCCCUUCAGAGGGGGAUAACAGUUGGAAACGACUGCUAACACCGCAUACUGAAGGAGGGUAUUGCGUCUGAUUAGCUAGUUGGAGGGGGAGCGGCCCACAAAGGCGAUGAUCAGGCGCCGGGCGGAGAGGAUUGACGGCCACAUUGGGACUGAGACACGGCCCAGACGCCUACGGGAGGCAGAAGUGGGGAAUCGUCCGCAAUGGAUGGAAGUCUGACGGAGCAACGCGGCGUGAGUGAUGACGGCCUUCGGGUGGUAAAGCUCUGUUAAUCGGGACGCGGUACCGGAAUAGAAAGCCACGGCUAACUACGUGCCAGCAGCCGCGGUAAUAC